rnacentral:rRNA from 1 species
AACGAACGCUGGCGGCAUGCCUAACACAUGCAAGUCGAACGAGACCUUCGGGUCUAGUGGCGCACGGGUGCGUAACGCGUGGGAACCUGCCCUUAGGUUCGGAAUAACUCCCCGAAAGGGGUGCUAAUACCGGAUAAUGUCUUCGGACCAAGGAUUUAUCGCCUUUGGAUGGGCCCGCGUUGGAUUAGCUAGUUGGUAGGGUAAAAGCCUACCAAGGCGACGAUCCAUAGCUGGUCUGAGAGGAUGAUCAGCCACACUGGGACUGAGACACGGCCCAGACUCCUACGGGAGGCAGCAGUGGGGAAUAUUGGACAAUGGGCGAAAGCCUGAUCCAGCAAUGCCGCGUGAGUGAUGAAGGCCUUAGGGUUGUAAAGCUCUUUUACCCGGGGUGAUAAUGACAGUACCGGGAGAAUAAGCUCCGGCUAACUCCGUG